UUUUUUUUUUUUUUUUUUUUGAGGCAGAGUCUCACGCUGUCACCCCGACUGGAGUGCAGUUGCUCGAUUGUAGCUCACUGUAUCCUCAACCUCCCAAGCUCAAGUGAUCCCUCCACAUCAGCCUCCUGAUUAGCUCGGUCUAUAGGCAUGUGCCACCACACUGGGCUUUUUUUUUUUUUGAGACAGAGUCUCACGCUGUCACCCCGGCUGGAGUGCAGUUGCUCAAUUGUAGCUCACUGUAGCCUUGACCUCCCAAGCUCAAGUGAUUCUUCCACUUCAGCCUCUUGAGUAGGUGGGACUAUAGGUUCAUGCCACCACAGCUGGCUAAUUUUCUAUUUUUUGUAGAGACAGGUUUCGCUGUGUUGCCCAGGCUGGUCUUGAACUCCUGUACUCAAGUGAUCCUCCCACCUCGGCCUCCGAAAGUGCUGGGAUUACAGGCAUGAGCCAUUGUGCCUAGCGUUGAACAGCAGUUUAGAUUCACAAAAUGCUUUCAUGUGUAUUAACUCAUUAUUUUUGUUGCAUUUGUCAAUAGUUCCCUUUUUUUGGGAGGGGGGUAGUGAAGAACUAUUCAUUGGUUUAGCAAAUAUUUACAAACUAAAGUGUUUACUGUGUUAGCUUCUUGGAGCACAAUGCUUGCUAGACAUGGUUCCUGUCCUCGUGGAGUUUCAGUCUUGGAGGAGCACACCUUAAUCAAAUGAUCAAAUAAACCGAAAUAAAACUGUAGCUUUGCAGGUGCCACAGAAGAGAAAUAAAUGAUCCUCAUAGAGGAGUCAGUGAGGUCAGAAAAGGCUUCUCUGGUCUGAUGAGUAGAAGUUAACUGAGUGAAGAAGGGAGUGAGAAUAGAUACAGGCAAAGGUCCUGUGAUAUGAUGGUGCCUGGUGACUCUGCGGGGCUAGAAGAAAGGCAGUAUGGCUGCAGCAGAAAAACAAGGCUGUCUGAGGUUGGCAACGGCCCUGAACAUGCAGGUUCUUGCAGGUAGAGGGGCCAGAAGAACAGUGAGAAGGCUACAACAGAGGAGAGUAGCUUGAGGAUGGGGAUUUGAGAGCAACUCAGAAGUCAAUGACAAGAUUUGGUGAUGAAUUGGCCAUAGGGAAUGUGAGAAUGAUGUCAAGGAUGACUUUUUUUUUUUUUUUUUGAGACAGAGUCUCACUGUCUACCAGGCUGGAGUACAGUGGCACGAUCUCGGCUCACUGCAAGCUCCACCUACCGGGUUCAUGCCAUUCUCCUGCCUCAGCCUCCCGAGUAGCUGGGACUACAGGCACCUGCCACCAUGCCCGGCUAAUUUUUUGUAUUUUUAGUAGAGAUGGGGUUUCACCGUGUUAGCCAGGAUGGUCUCGAUCUCCUGACCUCAUGAUCUGCCCACCUCGGCCUCCCAAAGUGCUGGGAUUACAGGCAUGAGCCACAGCGCCUGGCCUUGUUUUUUUUUUUUUUUUUUUUUUUUUAGAAACAGGGUCUUGCUCUGUUGCCUAGGCUGGAAUGCAGUGGUGCAAUCAUGGCUCACUUUAACCUCGAACUCCUGGGCUCAAGUGGUCCUACUGCCUCAGCUUCCCAAGUAGCUGGUAUCAUGUCCAGCUAAUUUUUAAUUUUUUUUUUUUUUUUUUGGUAGAGAUGAGGUCUUGCUAUGUUGCUCAGGCUGGUUUUGAGUUCCUGGCCUCAAGCAGUCCUCUUGCCUUGGCCUCUCAAAGUGCUAGGAUUACAGGUGUGAGCCACCACACAUGGCCAAGGAUGACUAAAGUUUCUAAUUUGUGCAUUAAUGGGUGUAGUGGCAUUUACUCAGCUAUGGAACACUGGAAAGGU
ensembl:lncRNA